CAGCCGCCACGGUAAUACGGAAGGUCCAGGUGUUAUCCGGAUUUAUUGGGUUUAAAGGGAGCGUAGGCCGCAGGUUAAGUGUGUUGUGAAAAGCAGUCGCCCAACGUCUGCCUUGCAGCGCAAACUGUCCUGCUUGAGUGCGCACAACGCAGGCGGAAUUCGUCGUGUAGCGGUGAAAUGCUUAGAUAUGACGAAGAACUCCGAUUGCGAAGGCAGCUUGCGGGAGCGCAACUGACGCUGAAGCUCGAAAGUGCGGGUAUCGAACAGGAUUAGAUACCCGAGUAGUCCCUGUCUCUUAUAC
rnacentral:rRNA from 1 species